ACGGAAGGCAGCAGUGGGGAAUAUUGCACAAUGGGGGAAACCCUGAUGCAGCGACGCCGCGUGAGUGAAGAAGUAUUUCGGUAUGUAAAGCUCUAUCAGCAGGGAAGAAAAUGACGGUACCUGACUAAGAAGCACCGGCUAAAUACGUGCCAGCAGCCGCGGUAAUACGUAUGGUGCAAGCGUUAUCCGGAUUUACUGGGUGUAAAGGGAGCGUAGACGGUGAGGCAAGUCUGAAGUGAAAGCUCGGGGCUCAACCCCGGAACUGCUUUGGAAACUGUUUUACUAGAGUGCAGGAGAGGUAAGUGGAAUUCCUAGUGUAGCGGUGAAAUGCGUAGAUAUUGGAGGAACACCAGUGGCGAAGGCGGCUUGCUGGACGACAACUGACGCUGAGGCGCGAAAGCGUGGGGAGCAAACAGGAUUAGAUACCCUGGUA
rnacentral:rRNA from 1 species